rnacentral:lncRNA from 1 species
GCAGCGGGUUGGGUAAUUUUUCAUUCAAUUUCAAAAACCCCGCCGACGCCGAGUUCGAAGAACUCCACACCCACCAAACAAAGACCAAAAAUUUGCAAGCAAAAUGGCCGGCAUGUUUUGGCUUAUAUUGAAGCUAUUAGAAGCGGUUCAGGAGGGGCCCCUCUCCGCCGAUAUCUGGUGACGUUGGCCAACUUCCACUCGACUGCCAGGUGACUGCACGACUGCUCACGGCUCACGGCACACGGCUCACGGCUCACGAGGGAACCAGCAGCGAAGAGCUCGGAUCACUGGUAUUUUUAGUAUGAGUUUUGUGGCGCUGAUUUACAAGGUGAACCGGUAAGGUAGCCAAGACCAGUUCAAAACCCCAGACCAAGUUGCCCCCCCCCCCUGUCUCACCUACCCAUCACCAUUACCCCUCCCCUGCCCCUUCACCUUCCCCUUUUCCCCAGUAACUCCAGCCGAUAAGCAAACAGUUUUAGUUUUCAAUUUAUGCUAGCAUUUUUGGCAAUGCUUCAAAAUAAAAGCAGGG